CGUAAAAAGAAUACCGUUUCGGUGCUUUACCCCAACAGUCACCUCUUUGAAACCCCAAUAACUCCCGUCCUUCCAAUACCUGCCUUCCUCCGACAGAGUAAGAGCGCAAAAUACCAGCCGUCUUCCGUCAGAUAUCCGGAACACUUCUUAUGGUAGGAUUAUUGCUUUAGAAAGAGAUCCAUGUAUCAGGUUUGUCCAAAAUCAUUUGGUCAAAUCCUAUAUGCAGUAAUGUUUCAUUUUCCUCCUUUCCCUGCUUCCUAAACUAUUGGUUAUAUCUGGUAGUAUCAAGGCUGUCUCAACAACACUGGGGCCUAAAGCCAAACUUCACAUAGAGCCCUAUUCUUUUUUAAAGAUUUUUAAAGAAAAGAUCGUCAUAUAUAUAUAUAUAUAUAUAUAUAUAUAUAUAUAUAUAUAUAUAUAUAAAGUCUACUUUCCUAGUUUAGUUCCUAGUUUAGAUGUGGAGUCAUUAAUUACUGUUUUAUAAUCGAUUUAUUCUAACAAUUCCUUUUCAAUUGAUAAUAUAGCUGAUCCAUCUAAUCUAUCUUGAGACAUUGUUGAUCUCAGAUAAGAUUUUAUCAAUUUUGAUUUUGAAAAACUUCUGUCGGCUAAGGUAACCGUUAUGUAUAUAAAAUACACCUUUAAGGAAAAAAAUGAGGCCCCAAGCGAUGCCUUUAUUGACCUUAUAGUCGAGCCACCCCAGGUAAUAUCUCACUUCCCUUCAAUAGAUUUAAGAAGCGCCCGACGGGUAUGAAUCUCCAUAUUUUGGUGGUGUUUACUUUUAGUUGUCUCUGUAUUUACUGUAUAUUCGCCCGUAUUGUUGCUUCAGUUUUAAAGAGAAUAUUAUAUUGCUGAAAACUAACAUUAUAAGUAUUUUAAAGGGAUAAUUAAGUGUGUUCAGGUUCUCUGUUUGUUCUUUCCUUACUCAAUUUUUCACCAUUCUUCCCUUAAACCUUUUUAUUUUACUUUAUUUAGUUCAACCUAAUUUAAAGGUUCAAAAGUCACAACUAAACAACCAACCGUUUUCUUUUCAAUUUCCAAGGUUAGAGGUAAAAAGUUUUCUUGUAUAGAGAUAAUUUCCACAAAGCAAGAGUAUCUCAUAGCCACCAUAUGUGACCCAGAUAAACAUUAUAAUGGUGAAUUCUUCCACCAAUGUACAUUAACAUAGACUCCUUUAGCCUAUGAUACCUCAGGAGUUGAUCAGAUGUACCCUUACCCUUUUAUUAUUUUGUUUAAAAUCCUUCUUUAGACAAAUAUUAGUAUGCCUCGCGACUGUGGUUUCUCACGAUGGUGUAACAUUAGAGAACCUUGAAAAA